rnacentral:lncRNA from 1 species
AGCAGGUCUUGUUUUCUCCUUUAUUGUGUCAUAAGAGAAUGGCUACGUAGUUCCUUAGAUACUAGCAGUAAGUUGAAGCAUCUGUGAGUCAGUCCUUGGCUAAACGACGAAGGAAUUGAUUGUGACUGUGGAAGCUGUGGGAGCUUUGGGUAGCUUUUGAUACUUGAGAAAGAAUAAUUCUCUACACUAAAGGAAUAGAGAAAAGACCUAAUCCUUGGUUUUAAUGUUAAAAAAUUCUCUUCUCUGAGGGAAAGAACUGUAUCUGUUUACACUGCCCUAUUCCUAGCUGUUACCACAAUGGCUGGGUAUAUAGAAGACACCUCAGCAUGGGUUAUUCUCUUCCCUUUUCUUGUCUUUGCUUUCAUGGUAUGGUAUGGUAGGGAAUGGUACGGAAUGGUACAGUAUCUUAUCCUAUCCCAUCAUCCUAUCCUGUCCUAUCCUACUCUACCUUAUAUAUACAGACAGGCAAACUGACAGUCACCACAAUAUAUUUCUGCCCUUCCUUGCAUUAAUUAUAAGUAUUUUAGUAUUUAUAUAAACAAAAUGUAAGAAACUCAGCCUUCUAUAAGCAAAAUUGUUGGGUAAUAUAUUGACAAAGGUUUGAGGAUCAUUCUCUGGAUUUUCUGUAUUUUUUCCCUAAUAAUAACCUGUGAGUUUCCUGUAUGUUGUGCAUUUUUAUAUACUUUAUAGAUCUGUUGACUAUUACCAAAAAAAUCAAUUAUAUGUUUUUCAAUGAGGAAGAAGCAAGAGUAAUUUCAUUGAUUUGUCAUGUUAAAAAUGAAAAUGCUACCAGAUACAGAAGUGAUGAAGAUUAUGAUAUUGGAAAUAGAGAUGAAAAAACAAUCUGA